GAUGAACGCUGGCGGCGUGCCUAAUACAUGCAAGUCGAGCGAACAGACGAGGAGCUUGCUCCUCUGACGUUAGCGGCGGACGGGUGAGUAACACGUGGAUAACCUACCUAUAAGACUGGGAUAACUUCGGGAAACCGGAGCUAAUACCGGAUAACAUGUUGAACCGCAUGGUUCAACAGUGAAAGACGGUCUUGCUGUCACUUAUAGAUGGAUCCGCGCCGCAUUAGCUAGUUGGUAAGGUAACGGCUUACCAAGGCAACGAGGCGUAGCCGACCUGAGAGGGUGAUAGCCCACCCUGGAGCUUGGACACGGACCAGACUCCUACGGGAGGCAGCAGUAGGGAAUCUUCCGCAAUGGGCGAGAGCCUGACGGAGCAACGCCGCGUGAGUGAAGAAGGUCUUCGGAUCGUAAAACUCUGUUAUUAGUGAAGAACAAAUGUGUAAGUAACUAUGCACGUCUUGACGGUACCUAAUCAGAAAGCCACGGCUAACUACGUG
rnacentral:rRNA from 1 species